CCUUUACCUAAGUCUGGGUACAGGCCCCACCACUAUCUUGCCAAACUCAGCUCUUCCGCAAGGCUGGUAUUCCCUGGGGAACGUGGCUGCCCUCACGGUGGAUGGGCUGAAGGGGCUGCACGGGCCUGCCCUGGGGAUCUUGGCCUCUGUAUCCUGCCUUGCCCCACCCCUGCCUUGAGUCUGGGCACUGACGCAGCUCUCCCUGCAGCGCUGCCUGGAAGAGGAGUAUUUGAGGCCUUGCCACCCCUCUGAGGCAGCCCUGGAGCCCACCCUGGCAGAGCUAAAGGAACAGAAGAAGGCCAUGGAGCAGGAGCUGCAGGCAUCUGUGGGGCCUUCUUGUGUCUCUCCCAACCACAGGCAGCGGCCCUUGGGGUCCUCCACACAGGGCCUCAGACCCCCG
rnacentral:lncRNA from 1 species